UACGUAGGGUGCGAGCGUUAAUCGGAAUUACUGGGCGUAAAGUGUGCGCAGGUGGCCGCGCAAGUCGAGUGUGAAAUCCCCGGGCUUAACCCGGGAACUGCGUCCGAGACUGGAAGGCUUGAAUCCGGGAGAGGGAUGUGGAAUUCCGCGUGUAGCAGUGAAAUGCGUAGAUAUCUGGAGGAACACCGGUGGCGAAGGCGGCGUUCUGGACUGCAACUGACACUGAUAAACGAAAGCCAGGGUAGCAAACGGG
rnacentral:rRNA from 1 species